CGUGACCCCGGUCAAGGGCAGUGGUUGGCAGCGUGCCGGCAGGGUGAUCUCUCUCGCACCACUGCGCGCAGGAGCAUCAGGCGGCUGCAGGCUCUGCAAAGAACAUACGGCGCGGCCAGACGUAAGAGUGAGUCGUAGAGAACAUGCUGCUAAGCUUGCCAACCAACUACGGACUGCACGGACUCCCUGCGGACCAACAGCACGGUCAGCCGCCGCUGCGCGUCGUCUGUGAGCUGAGCUCUGCCACCGGCCUCGGCUGGCGAGACUCGCCAGCUCCAGCGGCCGAGGAGCUCCGAGAGGGCUGCCCGGCCUCAAACCACACCGCCGCGCUGGAGCCACCGAGCCCCGGGCUGACACGCAGCCCGUCGCCCCAGUCGCCAGCUGACGGAGUGACGUCAGAGUCGCCGGCUGGUGAAGUGACGUCAGAGUCUACAGCUGGUGAG